AUGACAUUUAUUGUAAAUUGUUCUUGGUCUCCAUGCAGGAUGCUGUGUUCUCGGCUGCUUUGUGCGUGUCUGUGGCUGGUAACUGGCUACGCACACGAUGACGACUGGAUCGACCCCACCGACAUGCUCAACUAUGACGCAGCCUCGGGAACGAUGAGGAAACCUCAG